rnacentral:lncRNA from 1 species
AGGACUGGUCUUGUCAGAUGUAGUCCAUACCGAUCAGAUACAGUAUAGCUCCAGAAGCAGGGUCGCUGGGUCAAAGGGGCAGCGUAUUUGAAGUUUCCAUGGCGACACCUCCAGGGAGAGUUGUACCCUUCCUGGCUUCCACUGAGGACGAACAGCAUCUGCUUCCCUAGCAUUUGGCCAGUGGGGUGUUUUGUCAAACUUUUGGAAGUUUUCCAAUUUGACCAAGGACAACUUGUGCCCUCGUGGAGUUUUACUUUUCAUGUCUGUGAUUAUGAGUGCUCACACAUAUUUAGGACCAUUGGACUUUCUCCUCCUGUGAACUGCUCACGACCUUUGCCCAUUUUCCUACUGGUCUUAUGGCUUUACUCUUUAUUUCUCGCAGCUCGUCACAUCUUUCAGAGAAAAAUCCUUUUCUGUGUCAUGAGCUACAAAUGCUUCCCCUAGUUGUCUUUUUUCUUUGUGUUGUGCUCUGAUGACAUUUUCUAUAUAGAGGUGAUUGUUCUUGGUUCCAGUCACGAUUAUGAGCUUUUUUCCCCGUUGCUUCUGGAGUUUGAGACACAGAUGUGCCAAUCUACUCCAAGGUUAUUGGAUCAAUCAGAGUCCUAAUCAGAGUCCCAAUUAUGAUAAUUCCAGAAGAGUUUAUGUACAAAGGAAUUAGUUACAAGGGGUGUGGGCAAGAUUUAGGCCUCCACCCCUCAAGGGCAGUACAAGAAUCAGGGCCUAGGAGCAAUAGAGGUGUCAUUACCCCUGGGCUUCAGGGGGCAAUGAGCAGAGGGGUUAUUACAGCCCAGAGGGAGAGAUAGCUGUGUAGACCAGGCCAGCUAGAGAAGAACAUUUGUGUCUGUUGGGGAAACAGUGGCCUACAAGAGGAAGCCAAGAAGUGAACACCCUACCCUUAUUUCCCUCGGGCCCUCCUGUGUCCUGCCAUGGCUCCCCAUUGGCCAGAGGGUGCAGGAUCCUACUGGAAUCAUCCAUGCGAGCAGCCUUUCACAGCGGACAAUAGGGAUGAUGGAGUGUUAGCUUGCUGUGGGAGCCCCGUGUCAUCCAACCCGACCAGCUAUGGACCAGCUCCUGUGCUGCAGUUUCUUUGUUGUUCUCAGGAAGGCGAAAUAUUCUUCCAUUUUCAGCCCAGCAGAGUGGAAUUUAUACCCAAACAUCCUCAUCAGAUUGACAAAGCAUCCUGCAGGGACAUCAUGGAGCUCAUUUAA